GCACGCACGCAGCUUCUUUCUCCUUCGCGCAGCCAGUUGCAGGACGUCGUCAAUGUGACAGCAUCGGCUACUAGAUGACAGGCUCCCCCGCUGCUGGCCGCUCCAAGUGUUUUGUAUUGAACAAUCGUAGGCAAAAGGACCUGCGACCAACCCGUUCUUCAUGAUGCGUGGACGAGUGCGGGACCACUUGGUUGUUUGUAAACACUCGAUAGAUGCUGGACAUAAGCGAAGCUGCUUUGGUGCCUGAAGCCCACCAAAAAGCUACUGAGCAGUGAUUAUUAUCCGGCGUUGGUAGAAAUUGCUAUCGCGAACAACCUCCUUACGUAAACAUCAUUUGCAUGCGUGAUCCGGGAGUGUGGCUGUAUGGAAACGAUAAAGAAAUCGUCUAAAAUAGCUCAGUACCGAUAACAAAACGGUGGUGUGCCACGGCUUGGCAUGCAUAUCGUUUUUAUUCAGGCGUUAGAACAGUUAAACCUUCAUUUUAAGCGAAUUAAAACUAACACAUUGCUAUUUUUAAGGUAGUUAAUGAUUGUUUUUGUAAGCACUGGUUGCUGUAUGAUCGAUACAAGUGUUCUUUUCCUAGUGAAUUUUUUAUAAUUGAUACAUUCCAAUGCACAAUAUACCAAUUUAGUUUUUUUUAGUAGAAUAAAGCUUUUAUAU